AGCAAAUGAAAUCGGGCCCCUAGCCGCCACCGCCGUUGCUCAACCCAGCCUCCAAUCCUGAUCCAGGUCACUCUGACCCGCUGCCACUUGCCGGUGCGGUGGAGGACGCAGCGCUUCUAUCCUCGGAGUUCCUAUCCCGGGAAGAGGUCCUCCGCCGCCGCUCCCGGCGGGCGAAGCAGCUCGCCAGAUACUACAGGGAUCAGUAUUGGGCGCUCGUGGAGGAGGUCCGCGUCAAGAUUAGUGACUACUACAGGAGCUUCGGCAUCGGUCCCCGCGUGGUGGACGCGACGCCGACGCCCGCAGUGGCCGAGGGGAGUGGCGAUAACGACGAAGGGGCUAUGAAUAAGGUCUUUUGCCGAUUCUCCGACUGCCAAUCCACGGCGAUGCCACUCACGAGGUACUGCUAUCUUCACAUACUCUGCGACAGCAAGCAGACGCUUUACAAGCCUUGCACGUUUGCUACCUGCAGGACGUAGUGCAGACGAUGGGCGCAUUGUAUCUCUGGCGUAAUGGUCAGGGAUCGAUUCUCAGAAACUGACGACCUGAAAUUUAACCCGCCAUACGCCUAUGACUUGUGUACCUGUAUGAACCUCCCUCCAUAUCCGUGGAGCCGAUAUUAGGAGGGUCACUAAGUGGACAUCCUUGCGGGAAACCAGUUCUUCGAACUGCAGUGCCUUCUUUCUGCACAUUUCACAUUCAUAAGCCUAAGAAGCAUGUCUCAGAAGCUGUCAAUAAGGCAGCUCUCAGGUUCUGUUCUUCUGGCAAUUGUGCUCCCAAUUUUCAGGUUUUAGUUAUUGAAUAUAUCCACCAGAUCCAGAUCAACAGAGGAAGAGCACUGAAUGCUUCUAAUACGAAUAAUAUAAUAUAGUUAAGCUCGAUAAUGCUGGUUGAAGACUCUUGUGUUUAUCAGUUUAAAGAAUGAAGUGUCUGAUUUUUCGGUACAGAAGCUUAUCUAAUUCUAUAGAUGGAGAUGAUCUCAUGAAAUGAGAAGGUUAAUUGUACAAGGUAUGACAAUGAUGUUCUUGUUCUUC